rnacentral:rRNA from 1 species
CGUAGGUGGCAAGCGUUGUCCGGAUUUAUUGGGUUUAAAGGGUGCGUAGGCGGCUAUCUAAGUCGGUGGUGAAAUAUCUCAGCUUAACUGAGAGGGUGCCAUUGAUACUGGAUAGCUUGAGUACAGAUGAGGUAGGCGGAAUUGACGGUGUAGCGGUGAAAUGCAUAGAUAUCGUCAAGAACACCGAUAGCGAAGGCAGCUUACCAAGCUGUAACUGACGCUGAGGCACGAAAGUGUGGGGAUCAAACAGGAUUAGAUACCCUGAUAGUCCACACUGUAAACGUUGAUGACUCGAUGUUGGCGAUACACAGCCAGCGUCCAAGAGCAAUCGUUAAGUCAUCCACCUGGGGAGUACGCCGGCAACGGUG